GAUGAACGCUGGCGGCGUGCUUAACACAUGCAAGUCGAACGGAAAGGCCCAAGCUUGCUUGGGUACUCGAGUGGCGAACGGGUGAGUAACACGUGGGUGAUCUGCCCUGCACUUCGGGAUAAGCCUGGGAAACUGGGUCUAAUACCGGAUAGGACGAUGGUUUGGAUGCCAUUGUGGAAAGUUUUUUCGGUGUGGGAUGAGCUCGCGGCCUAUCAGCUUGUUGGUGGGGUAAUGGCCUACCAAGGCGUCGACGGGUAGCCGGCCUGAGAGGGUGUACGGCCACAGUGGGACUGAGAUACGGCCCAGACUCCUACGGGAGGCAGAAGUGGGGAAUAUUGCACAAGGGGCGCAAGCCUGAUGCAGAGACGCCGCGUGGGGGAUGACGGCCUUCGGGUUGUAAACUCCUUUCGCUAGGGACGAAGCGUUUUGUGACGGUACCUGGAGAAGAAGCACCGGCUAACUACGUG
rnacentral:rRNA from 1 species